GUGAGGAAUUUUCCGCAAUGGGCGAAAGCCUGACGGAGCAAUGCCGCGUGAAGGAUGAAGGCCUAUGGGUUGUAAACUUCUUUUCUUAGAAAAGAAUUAUGACGGUAUCUGAGGAAUAAGCACCGGCUAACUCCGUGCCAGCAGCCGCGGUAAUACGGAGGGUGCAAGCGUUAUCCGGUUUCACUGGGUUUAAAGGGUGCGUAGGUGGAUUGGUACGUCAGAGGUGAAAUCUCCGGGCUCAACUCGGAAACUGCCUUUGAUACUAUCAAUCAUGAAUGUUGUGGAGGUUAGCGGAAUAAGUCAUGUAGCGGUGAAAUGCUUAGAUAUGACAUAGAACACCAAUUGCGAAGGCAGCUGGCUACACAUAUAGUGACACUGAGGCACGAAAGCGUGGGGAUCAAACAGGAUUAGAAACCCGAGUAGUCC
rnacentral:rRNA from 1 species